rnacentral:rRNA from 1 species
UACGUAGGGUGCGAGCGUUGUCCGGAAUUAUUGGGCGUAAAGAGCUCGUAGGCGGUCUGUCGCGUCUGCUGUGAAAACUCAGGGCUUAACCUCGAGCUUGCAGUGGGUACGGGCAGACUAGAGUGCGGUAGGGGAGACUGGAAUUCCUGGUGUAGCGGUGAAAUGCGCAGAUAUCAGGAGGAACACCGAUGGCGAAGGCAGGUCACUGGGCCGCAACUGACGCUGGAGGAAGCGGAAAGCAUGGGGAGCGAACAGG